UCAAUUUUGCCUAAUUUUGUUAAAAUCUUUUCAAUUUUGCCUAAUUUUGUUUUCCUAAUUGUUUUUCCUCUCAAUUUUUGUUUAUCUUCUCAAAUCGUGUGUGGUGAUGAUGCAAUUUUUCGUGGACUAGAGUUUCUGAUCUUGCAUUUGACGAAACAACCCUUGGCUGUCUGAGCACACUUUCAAUUUUGUUUAUAAUUCUGGCUUGUGAUGAAAAAAUAAUUAUCUUAGCGGAUUUCAGUGAGAUUAUGAUUUUAUUGUAAUCCAUGAUCUGAUUGUUACACACACUGAAGCCUUUUCCCCCAAAUCAAAUUUUUUUUUGUUCAAUUUGAAUAAUGAUAGCAUUUGCAAUGAUGAGAUUAAGCACAAUUAUGUGUUUGGGGCAGUGGAUUCCGAUCCGUGAGCCUAUCUAAUUAACGACUUCUCCUUCCACUGAGCAAAUUCUCCCAAUUUGUUACUAUUUCAGCUCAAAUUUCUUCAAAUUUAUAAUUGAUUGCUUUAAUUUUGCGUCCUUUUACCAAUUCAUGGGGAUUAAUCCAUUCCUCUUGGUCUAAUGGCUUGGACGCAAUAUCAAAUUUGUGGCUAUCCUGAUCGGAUAUUGGGAGUAACAGUGGAUUUUGAUCUUGUUUUGGUUUAGGUGUUUGGAAGACCUUCAAUUUAGUGUUGUGAUUUGAAUGUUGUAUUUUAGUAUGUAUUCUUGAUUCUUGAUUUGACAGAUGUAUUGUACUCCAUAUUUUGUUUAUGGAUAGUAGAUAUAACCAUUGUUACAAAUACCUUGUGUUGUAUUUUAUCAAGUUUUCAUAAACGUGGUCACUCAAUUACUGAUUAGUAAUUGUCAUGAA